UCAUAGCCUUCAUUCUAGAGAAUGCUAUUGAGAUAGAGGAACAUUUUAUAUUUGUAAAAUGCAUCAGCUCAGUACCAGUUAGAAACAGGAAAGGAGAAGAGUGUGCCAUGGCUGGGGUAAGUGAUGGGACAUGGACAAUCCCCAGGGUAAUGAAGUCUUCCCACCAAGGCUGAAAAGACUCUGGAAAAAUCAGGUCCCAGCAGCCACGCAGCAUAGCAGGCAGAAGCCACAAGCCCUAAAGGACCAGCCCUGCAGACAAAGGCAGAUUUAUUUCUAGGAACCAGAAUCCUCUGAAGUUUCGUGGACAGGAAGACCCAGGAGACUGGGUCCUUGCCGGCCUGUCCCUCCUUCUUCACCUGUACUCACUGCAUGAGACGCCCUGCCAUCAGGCUCCCAUCCCUACUUGGCUGUCACCUGACCUCAGAGAUCUAAUUACAGAACUCAGAGGAUGCUUUUCUAUCCUUGACUCCAUGGACUGCUCGGCUACAUGAGUGCUGAGGCGUGGAAUCCCUGUAUAUGGCGGGGCUGGGACAAAGCCUCUCCUAUCUACAGAUGGUCCCAGAAAGGGCAGCGGGAGCCUGAGUGGGGCUGAGCUGCCCCAUUUCCGGGGCCUGCAGCCUCUUGUGACCACAUCUGUGGCCAUGGAGCCAACCCCUCCCCAGGCCCCUGAUUCCCCAGCCUUGGCUGAAACUUCACCUGGACGCCUGGCUCGAGGACAGUCAGCAUCUUCUGGAAGUGGUUUCACUUCAUCAGCUUGUACCUUGGCUUGGUACCCCAGAUCUGACAGAGCUAGUCCCACAAAUCUGGGCCCAUUCUAGGACUGCAGAAGGAUGCCAGAAGAGGGUUAUGAUCCCAGCCUGCUUCCCUGACAGGUCACCUGCUUAUUGAAGAAAAUUUGAGAAAUGCCCUCCAAACAUAAAGAAAUUUAAAAUUACCUAUCAUCCCAUCACAGAGAACCACUGUCAGCCAAGGUUCCCGUCCAACGCACCACAGACAGAAGGUCAAUAAAUAUUUGUUGAACUAACCCAGUCAGCUCUGAAUCCUCCGAUCUGAGUGCAGCCUGGGCUGGACGGCGUUGCCUGAAUGCAAAUGCCAGGCACCCUCUUAUCUGGGUGGCCCCUGGGCCUGCAGUAUGCUGCCAGGAAGCUGGCGGCCUAUUCAGCCUGUGACCUGAGCACCCGAGUGGAGUCCAGCUGGGGCCGGCCUGGACUUUGAUGCUGAGGACCCGACACCCCUACCCGCUCCUCACUACACUGGGGCCGGGACAGCUGCUGCCCUCCCUGGCCGAACAGACUCUGUCUCUUCAGAACGCUCAUCACUUUUCUGAACCUUCGUAUCCUUAUCAUUCACCUUCCAGGGGGGAUGGAAGAUCCAGUGACAUCCCUGGAUAUGAAGGGGUCUGGGGUGAAAUUGUAUCCACAUAUAAGGGGUUAGGAAGCCUCGAUGGUGUUCUAACUGGAAGAAGGGAGUAGGGUGGGAGGCAUGCUGGGGGCAGCAGAAGCCAGCAGCAACAGCCUAGUGGCGAGGUCCCAUUGCGCAGACGGGAAUGCCAAGUCAGGCUGAAAGCUGGCUCCAGGCCACAGCUUAUCCGAGGCCGGGACUAGUGACAGAUGGACAGACACCCUUUUCACUCCGUGUUUGACAGAGGUUCAACCCAGGCCCAAGAAAGGUGUCUUGAGGCUGCUUGUUUCCUCCUAUUUCUCCAUCUUCAAGAGAAGCACCACUUUUCAGCCAUAGGCCCUGGACCUGAAGAACAUCUCUGAAACACUGGGGAACUCAGCAGGACAAACAGAAAAUGGGACAGAGGGUGGCAAGAGGAGGUGGAGGGAGGGGCGGGGCA